rnacentral:rRNA from 1 species
UACGUAGGGCGCAAGCGUUAUCCGGAAUUAUUGGGCGUAAAGAGCUCGUAGGCGGUUUGUCGCGUCUGCCGUGAAAGUCCGGGGCUCAACUCCGGAUCUGCGGUGGGUACGGGCAGACUAGAGUGAUGUAGGGGAGAUUGGAAUUCCUGGUGUAGCGGUGGAAUGCGCAGAUAUCAGGAGGAACACCGAUGGCGAAGGCAGAUCUCUGGGCCGUAACUGACGCUGAGGAGCGAAAGCAUGGGGAGCGAACAGG